CUAGCUAUCACCCUUUUUCUUUUCCUAUCUCUUUGCGUCAUCACGGUUAAAAAUGGCAAAAGGGCAGAGUAUAUUGCUUUUCUCAGGCGUUACAUGGCCGUCUGUGGCAAGCAUUAAUUGCUUACCACCUCUAUUCCACCAUGUAUCAGCCAAACACGGGGUUUGAAGGAUCUUCAAAUUGCAUUACUCGACCUAGGCUGCACAUAGAAGAGGUGAUACCAUACUUAGCAGCAAGUGCUUCAGCCUAAUUGUUACUGCUGCGUUCAAUUGGGACUGAAUAAGCAAAAAUGAAAUCUCCAUUGUAUGAUCUCACAACAGCUCCCAUACCUUUUUGGUGUCAUUGAAGAAGCUCCCGUCAGUAUUGAGUUUUACCAUACUAGUGCAGGGUUCUUCCCAAGCAAUUGGCGUAUAUCUUACCAUGGGACAGAGUCUUUCCACUUUGUUGCAUAAGUUUGGCCAAUAUUCUUCUGUUGUAAAAGAAAGAAAUGCUUCUUGUAUCACUGCUUUGAUAUUUCAAGUGCACUGAGUAACCAUUUUGUAUUGAUAAAAUCUGCUUCUAUCUCCA